AUGCAACACUCUAAAUCUCGCAGAGUGGGAUUUGGAGGGUGACAGCAGUUUUCGCUCCGUUUCGUGUUAAACAACGCAAAUUUACUGUCUUGGUAGCAGAACAUGUUUCCCACUUGCAAUAAUAACCUUGGGGAAGGGAGUGAAUUGAAGGAGCAGGACGACCCCCUGUCUUGUCAUCGUCCACCCAGACUGACCAAACAAGUUUGCUAAGCCAAAGAACGUUCUUUGGCUAAGCGCCAUUUCAAGCGAGGACAGUCGUAACAAUGGAUACAGCUCCUUUGCCAAAAGUGUCUGUAAAUUUGCUUUAAGAGUGUAAUGCUGUAACGUAGUUUUAUUUAUUACGUACUGCUAACACAAUGAAAGCUGAGGCGUUACAUGAUAGUUCAAAAUUAUCAGAUUUUUAUAACUGCAAGAAGUUCCCGAAGAUGCUGUUAAUGUCCUAAAAGGGUAAAGGCAAAGCAAGUAUUUUAGCAUCAGGCUGUUUUUUGAAAAAAAAAAAAAAAAAAAAAUCCAAAUUCUGCACUUCUAAUAUUUGCUAAAUGGAAUAGAAGACAUGGAAUCUCUUGGACCAGCUCAGAAUAAACAGCCCAUUAUAGUGUGUAUUACAAGUUCAUUCUAUAUUAAAGCAGUAAAUCACUUAAAGCAUGCCCAAAUCAUGCCAUGAAGGCAUUUGACAUUCUAUUUAAAACUAAUUUUGUAUUUAGCGUUCAAUAUGCACAUACAUCAACAAAUUUUUAUAAUUUUGUGGCAAGCCUUUUGUAUAAUGUCAGCACUCCUAGAGCUUGUGUGGACUCUUUAAAUAUAUGUUUGAGUAAGAAUUUAUUGCAUUUUGUACAUGCAUUACAUUUCAUAUUUUUAAUGUCAUUUUAUUGUCAUAUUUUAGUGUCAU